AGAGUUUGAUUAUGGCUCAGAGUAACGCUGGCGGCGUGCUUAACACAUGCAAGUCGAACGAGACGGUUGUCAGCUGUGGCGCACGGGUGAGUAAUGUAUAGAUAACCUGCCCUUAAGAAAGGAAUAACAGUUGGAAACGACUGCUAAUGCCCUAUACCUUUAAUACAUAAGUAUGCAAGGGAAAGCUUUAGUGCUUAAGGAUGGGUCUGUAUGGUAUCAGCUUGUUGGUGAGGUAAUGGCUCACCAAGGCUAUGACGCCUAACUGGUUUGAGAGGAUGAUCAGUCACACUGGAACUGAGACACGGUCCAGACUCCUACGGGAGGCAGCAGUGGGGAAUAUUGCACAAUGGACGAAAGUCUGAUGCAGCAACGCCGCGUGGAGGCACUUCGGCGACUCCUUUUAUAUAGGUAAACUAUAUGAAUAAGCACCGGCAACUCCGUGCCAGCAGCCGCGGUAAUACGGAGGGUGCAAGCGUUACUCGGAAUCACUGGGCGUAAAGAGCGUGUAGGCGGGUAUAUAAGUCAGAAGUGAAAUCCAAUAGCUCAACUAUUGAACUGCUUUUGAAACUGUAUACCUAGAAUGUGGGAGAGGUAGAUGGAAUUUCUGGUGUAGGGGUAAAAUCCGUAGAGAUCAGAAGGAAUACCGAUUGCGAAGGCGAUCUACUGGAACUUAUUGACGCUGAGACGCGAAAGCGUGGGGAGCAAACAGGAUUAGAUACCCUGGUAGUCCACGCCCUAAACGAUGUACACUAGUUGUUGUGAGGCUCGACCUUGCAGUAAUGCAGUUAACACAUUAAGUGUACCGCCUGGGGAGUACGGUCGCAAGAUUAAAACUCAAAGGAAUAGACGGGGACCCGCACAAGCGGUGGAGCAUGUGGUUUAAUUCGACGAUACACGAAGAACCUUACCUGGACACAUAGUAAGAACUUUCUAGAGAUAGAUUGGCUCUUAUUAAGGUGCUGCACGGCUGUCGUCAGCUCGUGUCGUGAGAUGUUGGGUUAAGUCCCGCAACGAGCGCAACCCUCGUCCUUAGUUGCUAACAGUUCGGCUGAGAACUCUAAGGAGACUGCCUACGCAAGUAGGAGGAAGGUGAGGACGACGUCAAGUCAUCAUGGCCCUUACGUCCAGGGCUACACACGUGCUACAAUGGGGUAUACAAAGAGCAGCAAUACGGUGACGUGGAGCAAUCUCAAAAAUAUCUCCCAGUUCGGAUUGUAGUCUGCAACUCGACUACAUGAAGUUGGAAUCGCUAGUAAUCGUAGAUCAGCUAUGCUACGGUGAAUACGUUCCCGGGUCUUGUACACACC
rnacentral:rRNA from 1 species